UGCUGAGAAACUUCCAAGAACACGAAAACAGAAAGUAGCAAAAAAAAUCGAAUAGUCACAUUCGAACCAGACUGUAGUCACGUUGAUGUUGCUGCUUCAGAUCUGGAGAGAAAAAAAAAAGAAAAAAAUCGAAAAUAACGAAAGGAAGGUGGUGUGAUGUGUAGGAGGCGACAACAUGAGUUUUUUUGGAGGUUUGACACCGUAGCAAGUCUUGACGGCAUUCGAACCAGACUGUAGCAAAAAAAAUCGAAUAGUCACAUUCGAACCAGACUGUAGUCACGUUGAUGUUGCUGCUUCAGAUCUAGAGAGAAAAAAAAGAAAAAAAUCGAAAAUAACGAAAGGAAGGUGGUGUGAUGUGUAGGAGACGACAACAUGAGUUUUUUGGGAGGUUUGACACCGUAGCAAGUCUUGACGGCACAACCCUAGACGGCGGCUGUGAUAUCGGUGGUUGGGUGAGUGGAUAAUGGCGGUGAUGUGAAAAGGAGGGAGGAGGGCGGCGACGCUGGUGUAAAUCUCAAAUGCAAGCGGCAGCGGCAGAUCUGCAAAGAAGAAUACGGAAAAAAAAAAAAAAAAAAGAGAGGAAAUAGAGAUUACGAGAGAACAGAGAGAGUUUCACGUGAGAGAGAACGGCAAAGAAGAAGGGGAAAAAAACUGUUGUUAAGGGUAAUUAUGUCUUAUCCUAUCUUAAUAAGGGGGUCUCACUAAUUAAGAUUGGGAUAUGGGUGUGGGAAAAAGUCUAAAAAGUCAAGUGGGUUUUUUACAUAAUAUUUUCCAUUUUAGGGGGGGAUUGCAUAUUUCCCCUUCUUUUAAUAUAUAACAUACUUUUAAAUGAAAUAUGUACUUAAAUAUUUAACAACAAACAUAUAGCCUAUUAUAGUUUCUGACAAUGUUACCUCACAACAGUUAGUCAUCUAAUCUGUCUACCGAGAUUAGUUUAUCUGUUUGUGCAGGCAAAAUUCAGUAGAAAGACAGCCAUUUAUCACACUCCUAAACUCAUUUCCUUGACAAAAAAAAGAAGGAAAAAAUAAAAUAAAA